AGAGUUUGAUCAUGGCUCAGAACGAACGCUGGCGGCGUGGAUAAGACAUGCAAGUCGAACGAGACUUUUUCUGGUAGCAAUACCGGGAAAAGUUUAGUGGCGAACGGGUGCGUAACACGUGGGCAAUCUGCCAUGAAGUGGGGGAUAGCUCGGCGAAAGCCGAAUUAAUACCGCAUGUGAUCAGUGAAGACAUCUUCACGACAUUAAAGCCGGGGCAACCUGGCGCUUCUUGAUGAGCCCGCGGCCUAUCAGCUAGUUGGUGAGGUAACGGCUCACCAAGGCGGUGACGGGUAGCUGGUCUGAGAGGACGACCAGCCACACUGGAACUGAGACACGGUCCAGACACCUACGGGUGGCAGCAGUCGAGAAUUUUUCUCAAUGGGGGAAACCCUGAAGGAGCGACGCCGCGUGGAGGAUGAAGGCUUUCGGGUUGUAAACUCCUGUCAUUUGGGAACAAUGUUCCGCUAUUAACUGUAGCAGGAUUGAUAGUACCAGAAGAGGAAGAGACGGCUAACUCUGUGCCAGCAGCCGCGGUAAUACAGAGGUCUCAAGCGUUGUUCGGAUUCAUUGGGCGUAAAGGGUGCGUAGGUGGCGCGCUAAGUCAGGUGUGAAAUUUCGGAGCUUAACUCCGAAACUGCAUUUGAUACUGGCGUGCUUGAGGACUGGAGAGGAGACUGGAAUUCACGGUGUAGCAGUGAAAUGCGUAGAGAUCGUGAGGAAGACCAGUGGCGAAGGCGGGUCUCUGGACAGUUCCUGACACUGAGGCACGAAGGCCAGGGGAGCAAACGGGAUUAGAUACCCCGGUAGUCCUGGCAGUAAACGGUGCACGUUUGGUGUGGGAGGAUUCGACCCCUUUCUGCGCCGGAGCUAACGCGUUAAACGUGCCGCCUGGGGAGUACGGUCGCAAGAUUAAAACUCAAAGAAAUUGACGGGGCCCGCACAAGCGGUGGAG
rnacentral:rRNA from 1 species